UUUAGUAUUUUAGGGUUUGUAAGAAUCCAAGAAAAUUAAUGAAAAUAAUUUAAGUAAGCUCUGCUUAUUGAGGUGGAUGAUCUCCAAUCAACGGAUCAACUGGUUACCACGGUUUGUGUUAAUAUUAGGGUCUUGUGUGAUUAGUAUCAGGAUCCUAUCAAGCUCCACCAUCAAAACAAGUUCACCACCAAGCUACACCACCAUUAUCAAUUUACUUCAGGUAUUUUCUUUGAUUGAUUCCAUUUAUUUCCGUAUUCAGGAGGAAUCAUAGGGAUAGGAGAAGGUGGACGAGAUCGAGUUGGUCUGUUACACACUCUAGCAACACUGCUUGAGUCCACGGGAAGUGUUCUCAUUCAUGCACUGCUAGGAGUGAUAAUCUUACCUCUUGAAGACCAAAAGUAAGCGAUCCUGUCGGGGGUUAUCCAAAAUUGAAAGGUAAAACGGUUUAAAGAUGGUAGUAACUCUUCUAUCCAAGUGAGUACGCACUUUCCUCUAGGUUACCCCCUUCAAGCCUUUAUGAUUGGAUGUUAGCCGGACCACCUGAAUGAGUAUUUGUGUACCAUAUUUUUAAAUAUUGGCUUGCUUUGUGUAACAGUUUUUGACCCAUAGGUCGGAAUGACGCCAAUAUGAUAAUAGAUUUUAAUGUUUUACAGAUAAACCCUUGGAUGAAGUUCUUUUUACUUAUGAGGUUACUUGAAAUGAAAUGAAGAACUGUAUAGCUUUUAGGGUUCUUUCAUGGUAAACGUGGUGAACAAAAGUGAGAUAGUAAGUGCCAAUCCUUGAAGAUAUUACUAACUUCUUUCAUUUUCAGAUUACAGACUGAUUCUUGCAGUGGCAACAUUUUUUCCCCUUUUGAUCGAAAACAGUUAUGGUGAAAGCGAAGGUGACAAGGGUGAUGACGAUGAAUAAAUAUACUUACUCAAGAUACGGUGAUCUGGAUGAAUAAAGGCGAAGAUUGGACACCAGUCCUCAAGAAAUGGCGUUUCCUACAGGAUGUUAACUAUUUUAUACUUACUCUGAAAGUAGAUUUUGGUUCAGUCUGUAUAUCCAAUAAUCCCAAGUACCCAAGAGAAUGUAGAAACAAACGUCUUCUGAUGAUUACAUGAACAUAGUUCAAAUGAUGCCUUCUUUUAUGUUCAAAAAUGUGGUCUAUCCCUUGGAUUAAAGGGAUCAAGCUAAAUUGGUUACAUCAACGGUGCUUUGUAGUUCACUUUUUCAAAUCUUACUGAUCUGGAUGACAUCAUUUUGAAUAGUUCU